UACGUAGGGUGCAAGCGUUGUCCGGAAUUAUUGGGCGUAAAGAGCUCGUAGGCGGUCUGUCGCGUCGGCUGUGAAAACCCGGAGCUCAACUCCGGGCCUGCAGUCGAUACGGGCAGACUGGAGUUCGGCAGGGGAGACUGGGAAUUCCUGGUGGUAGCGGUGAAAUGCGCAGAUAUCAAAGAGGAACACCGGUGGCGAAGGCGGGUCUCUGGGCCGAUACUGACGCUGAGGAGCGAAAGCGUGGGGAGCGAACAGG
rnacentral:rRNA from 1 species